rnacentral:misc_RNA from 1 species
GAAAUGCGAUAAGUAAUGUGAAUUGCAGAAUUCAGUGAAUCAUCGAAUCUUUGAACGCACAUUGCGCCCGCCGGUAUUCUGGCGGGCAUGCCUGUUCGAGCGUCAUUUCAACCAUCAAGCCCCCGGCUUGUGUUGGGGACCUGCGGCUGCCCGCAGGCCCUGAAAAACAGUGGCGGGCUCGCUGUCACACCGAGCGUAGUAGCAUACAUUCUCGCUCAGGGCGUGCUGCGGGUUCCGGCCGUUAAACGACCUUCAUAACCCAAGGUUGACCUCGGAUCAGGUAGGAAGACCCGCUGAACUUAAGC